rnacentral:rRNA from 1 species
GAGUUUGAUCCUGGCUCAGGAUGAACGCUAGCGGGAGGCCUAACACAUGCAAGCCGAGCGGUAGAGAUCUUUCGGGAUCUUGAGAGCGGCGUACGGGUGCGGAACACGUGUGCAACCUGCCUUUAUCUGGGGGAUAGCCUUUCGAAAGGAAGAUUAAUACCCCAUAAUAUACUGAAUGGCAUCAUUCGGUAUUGAAAACUCCGGUGGAUAGAGAUGGGCACGCGCAAGAUUAGAUAGUUGGUGAGGUAACGGCUCACCAAGUCUACGAUCUUUAGGGGGCCUGAGAGGGUGAUCCCCCACACUGGUACUGAGACACGGACCAGACUCCUACGGGAGGCAGCAGUGAGGAAUAUCGGACAAUGGGUGAGAGCCUGAUCCAGCCAUCCCGCGUGAAGGACGACGGCCCUAUGGGUUGUAAACUUCUUUUGUAUAGGGAUAAACCUACCCUCGUGAGGGUAGCUGAAGGUACUAUACGAAUAAGCACCGGCUAACUCCGUGCCAGCAGCCGCGGUAAUACGGAGGGUGCAAGCGUUAUCCGGGUUUAUUGGGUUUAAAGGGUCCGUAGGCGGAUCUGUAAGUCAGUGGUGAAAUCUCACAGCUUAACUGUGAAACUGCCAUUGAUACUGCAGGUCUUGAGUGUUGUUGAAGUAGCUGGAAUAAGUAGUGUAGCGGUGAAAUGCAUAGAUAUUACUUAGAACACCAAUUGCGAAGGCAGGUUACUAAGCAACAACUGACGCUGAUGGACGAAAGCGUGGGGAGCGAACAGGAUUAGAUACCCUGGUAGUCCACGCCGUAAACGAUGCUAACUCGUUUUUGGAAUGUAAGUUUCAGAGACUAAGCGAAAGUGAUAAGUUAGCCACCUGGGGAGUACGAACGCAAGUUUGAAACUCAAAGGAAUUGACGGGGGCCCGCACAAGCGGUGGAUUAUGUGGUUUAAUUCGAUGAUACGCGAGGAACCUUACCAAGGCUUAAAUGGGAAAUGACAGGUUUAGAAAUAGACUUUUCUUCGGACAUUUUUCAAGGUGCUGCAUGGUUGUCGUCAGCUCGUGCCGUGAGGUGUUAGGUUAAGUCCUGCAACGAGCGCAACCCCUGUCACUAGUUGCCAUCAUUAAGUUGGGGACUCUAGUGAGACUGCCUACGCAAGUAGAGAGGAAGGUGGGGAUGACGUCAAAUCAUCACGGCCCUUACGC